UACGUAGGGUGCGAGCGUUAAUCGGAAUUACUGGGCGUAAAGCGUGCGCAGGCGGUUUUGUAAGACAGAGGUGAAAUCCCCGGGCUCAACCUGGGAACUGCCUUUGUGACUGCAAGGCUUGAGUGCGGCAGAGGGGAUGGAAUUCCACGUGUAGCAGUGAAUGCGUAGAGAUGUGGAGGAACACCGAUGGCGAAGGCAGCCCCCUGGGCUAACACUGACGCUCAUGCACGAAAGCGUGGGGAGCAACAGG
rnacentral:rRNA from 1 species